GACGAACGCUGGCGGCGCGCCUAACACAUGCAAGUCGAACGAGCGAGAGGAGGUUUACUUUCUCCAGCGAGUGGCGAACGGGUGAGUAACGCGUGAGGAACCUGCCUCAAAGAGGGGGGCAACAGUUGGAAACGACUGCUAAUACCGCAUAAGCCCACGACCCGGCAUCGGGUAGAGGGAAAAGGAGCAAUCCGCUUUGAGAUGGCCUCGCGUCCGAUUAGCUAGUUGGUGAGGUAAUGGCCCACCAAGGCGACGAUCGGUAGCCGGACUGAGAGGUUGAACGGCCACAUUGGGACUGAGACACGGCCCAGACUCCUACGGGAGGCAGCAGUGGGGAAUAUUGCACAAUGGGGGAAACCCUGAUGCAGCGACGCCGCGUGGAGGAAGAAGGUCUUCGGAUUGUAAACUCCUGUUGUUGAGGAAGAUAAUGACGGUACUCAACAAGGAAGUGACGGCUAACUACGUG
rnacentral:rRNA from 1 species